UACGGAGGGUGCAAGCGUUAAUCGGAAUUACUGGGCGUAAAGCGCGCGUAGGCGGUUGGGUAAGUCAGAUGUGAAAGCCCCGGGCUUAACCUGGGAACUGCAUUUGAUACUGUCUGACUCGAGUAUGGUAGAGGGGGGUGGAAUUCCCGGUGUAGCGGUGAAAUGCGUAGAGAUCGGGAGGAACACCGAUGGCGAAGGCGGCCCCCUGGGUCGACACUGACGCUCAUGCACGAAAGCGUGGGGAGCAAACAGG
rnacentral:rRNA from 1 species